UGGUGGAGCGAUUUGUCUGGUUAAUUCCGAUAACGAACGAGACUCUGGCCUAUUAAAUAGUUCGCCGAUUUCCGAUCUGUCGGCGUUAACUUCUUAGAGGGGACAAGUGGCUUUUAGCCACGCGAGAUUGAGCAAUAACA
rnacentral:rRNA from 1 species